rnacentral:rRNA from 1 species
AUGAACGCUGGCGGCGUGCUUAACACAUGCAAGUCGAACGGAAAGGCCCAAGCUUGCUUGGGUACUCGAGUGGCGAACGGGUGAGUAACACGUUGGUGAUCUGCCCUGCACUUCGGGAUAAGCCUGGGAAACUGGGUCUAAUACCGGAUAGGACCACUUCUUGGAUGUUGUGGUGGAAAGUUUUCUCGGUGUGGGAUGAGCUCGCGGCCUAUCAGCUUGUUGGUGGGGUAAUGGCCUACCAAGGCGUCGACGGGUAGCCGGCCUGAGAGGGUGUACGGCCACAUUGGGACUGAGAUACGGCCCAGACUCCUACGGGAGGCAGCAGUGGGGAAUAUUGCACAAUGGGCGCAAGCCUGAUGCAGCGACGCCGCGUGGGGGAUGACGGCCUUCGGGUUGUAAACUCCUUUCGCUAGGGACGAAGCGUUUUUGUGACGGUACCUGGAGAAGAAGCACCGGCUAACUACGUG